rnacentral:rRNA from 1 species
GGGGAAUAUUGCGCAAUGGGCGAAAGCCUGACGCAGCGACGCCGCGUGAGGGAUGAAGAUUCUCUGAUCGUAACCCUCUGUCCGAAGGGAAGAACCCGCCCCGUCCUAAUCAGCGGUACAUUUACGGUACCUUCAAAGGCAGCACCGGCUACCUCCGUGCCAGCAGCCGCGGUAAUACGGAGGGUGCAAGCGGUAAUCGGAAUUACUGGGCGUAAAGCGCACGUAGGCUGCUUUGUAAGUCAGGGGUGAAAUCCCACGGCUCAACCGUGGAACACCUUUGAUACUGCUUAGCUUGAAUCCGGGCGAGGGUGGCGGAAUUCCAGGUGUAGGAGUGAAAUCCGUAGAUAUCUGGAGGAACAUCAGUGGCGAAGGCGGCCACCUGGACCGGUAUUGACGCUGAGGUGCGAAAGCGUGGGGAGCAAACA